AUACCUUUCUCGGCCUUUUGGCUAAGAUCAAGUGUAGUAUCUGUUCUUAUCAGUUUAAUAUCUGAUAUGUGGGCCAUGUGUCCACAACGAUAUUAAAUUUAUUUUUUAUGGGGAAGGGUCCACCACACUAGCUUGCUAGUGGGGCCCUCGUGUGUCGCUUGGGCGUUGCACUACUGCCCAGGCCAGGCGCACCCCAA
rfam:Triticum aestivum genome assembly, contig: Triticum_aestivum_CS42_TGACv1_scaffold_513787_6BS